UUUUUUUUUUUUCCCCAGCAAUAAUAUACAGUGCCUGAGUUAAGAGGUGACUGUUAUCACAGAUAUCAAGCUCUUCUGGAAGUUCUCUGUUUCCUGCACUGUUUCUGGUUUGGUGCAGCCCUGGACAAUGUCAGGGAUGUCGUGUCACCACUUGAAGAUCUCAGGAAGGACAAAUCAAUUUUGAAGACCCCCUGGCAUCGCGCCGAGGAGCUGCGGAACCAGAGUACACCUCGGGCCCAGCUGGGUGGCCAUCACUCGCCCUCCCAGGGUCCCCGCGGUGAAGGCUCUGUGAGGGCCGCGGCUGCGGGGGCCACACAGGCGUCACCGCGGUUGGGAUGGAUCCACAGGGAUGUGUGUCCCUUGUGACUGAUGC
rnacentral:lncRNA from 1 species